rnacentral:lncRNA from 1 species
CUCAGAUUGCUCGAUUGUGUCAACAAUCACUCCGAUCGUACACCAUGUCUGGAUGCUCAUCUUCCACCUGUUGUUGCGGUUCUAGCUGCCAGUGCGACCCUUCAAGUUGCAAGUGCAGGUCCUUGGCUGAGCCCACCUUCGGUGGCCUUCGCAAGUGUGUCUCUGCUCUCUUCUGCCCUUCGUGUUCCAGAUGAAAUUGUGUGAACUCUCUCGCGGAAUUCUGCAAUUCGAUAUGUUAGAUUGUUCUCAGGGGUUUUCCUUUUGCUUGAAGUCUCAGAUGGGUAGAAUUGUGGAAAAGGGUUGGUCAUCGGGACAUGGUUCUAACGUGUUGCGAUCCUUGACUGUGUGUGUGAAUUGUCCAGCUACAACGCAGAGAACGACUGCAAAUGUGGACCCGGCUGCAGCUGCGCCGACUGCGACUGCCACAAAUGAAGACCUCCGUCGUCUCUCACGACGGUUUGGAUCGGGAGGGGCUUAACCUUGGCGUGAGCUUCCUCAUCAGUUGUGUGUAAGAUUCGUCAGGAAAGACAAAAAAAAAGUAUCGAAGCUUCCAAGCUAUGGCUACCGCUCUAUUAGGAGUAAAUCGCCACUCUUUUCGGGGCAGAGAAACCAUAGCAAUUAUCAAUAAUAAUCAUCAUCAUUGUGAGUAGUUGCAUCCGAGCGGCAGCUGCCUGUGCUUGUUUUUCGAUUUGCAAUUGCUCAGUAAAGUUUGCUCUCAAUUAAAUU